rnacentral:rRNA from 1 species
UAACGUAGGGUGCAAGCGUUAAAUCGGAAUUACUGGGCGUAAAGCGUGCGCAGGCGGUUGUGCAAGACAGAUGUGAAAUCCCCGGGCUCCAACCUGGGAAUUGCAUUUGUGACUGCACGGCUAGAGUGUGUCAGAGGGGGGUAGAAUUCCACGUGUAGCAGUGAAAUGCGUAGAGAUGUGGAGGAAUACCGAUGGCGAAGGCAGCCCCCUGGGAUAACACUGACGCU